AGUUUGAUCCUGGCUCAGGAUGAACGCUGGCGGCGUGCUUAACACAUGCAAGUCGAACGGACUCGUAUUGAAACCUAGUGAUAUAUGAGUUAGUGGCGGACGGGUGAGUAACGCGUGGGUAACCUGCCUUACACAGGGGGAUAACACUUAGAAAUAGGUGCUAAAACCGCAUAAGCGCACAGCUUUGCAUGAAGCAGUGUGAAAAACUCCGGUGGUGUAAGAUGGACCCGCGUCUGAUUAGCUUGUUGGCGGGGUAACGGCCCACCAAGGCGACGAUCAGUAGCCGGCCUGAGAGGGCGGACGGCCACAUUGGGACUGAGACACGGCCCAGACUCCUACGGGAGGCAGCAGUGGGGAAUAUUGCACAAUGGGGGAAACCCUGAUGCAGCGACGCCGCGUGAGUGAAGAAGUAAUUCGUUACGUAAAGCUCUAUCAGCAGGGAAGAAAUACUGACCUUACGGUCAGCAGACGGUACCUGAGUAAGAAGCCCCGGCUAACUACAUG
rnacentral:rRNA from 1 species